AGUGGGAUAGCUGGGUCAAAUGAUGGUUCUAUUCCAAGUUUUAUAAGGUAUCUCCACACCACUUUCCAAAGUGAUUGUACCAAUUUGCAGUCCCACCAGCAAU
rnacentral:pre_miRNA from 1 species